AUUUGAAACGGGGAAAGAAAAAAAAAGAAAAGAAGAGGGAGAGAAGAGGAAGAGAGGGGGGGAAGGAAGGGAUUCCGGUCACCGGACGGCCACCGGGGGCUCGCCGGCGCCGGCCACCGCGAAAGGUAUGAAAUUUUUUUAUUUUUUAUUUUUAGUUCUUUUUUCCUAAAGUAUAUGCAUGCGAUGGAUUUAAAGAUUAAAAAGCAAAAAUCACCUUGAACCCUGUUUUGGUAUUCUGUUUUUUUUGGAUUUUGUCGAUUCGGGGUUUUCCCUUCGCUGCGAUAUCACUGUGACUGUAUCUAUAAUUUUAGUGUUUUUGUUCUUAGAGUAAUGAAAAUGUGAAAACUUGCUUCUAUAUAUCAGGAUCCGGGGUCCUUUUACAAAAAUUCAAUCGGCUUAUAUAGUCAUUCUUUUUACAAGUUGUUCUCUAUACUUUUAGCUUUCUGUCUCGUCCGUUCAAUGUGUUGCAGGGACUUUAGGCGGUGCUGAGAUAUUGUGGGGGUUCGGUCGGCCUUGGCAGAGGCAAGUGGCGGGUUAGGGUGGCUGAAAGUCAAAAGCUGAAGACCCUAGGUGGGGCACACCUAGGGUUUGGUUGCUGACUUGAGAGGGAUGGGCUAGGGUUUGAUGAUAGGUGGCAUUUGGGUCUGUUUGUUGGGCUAGAAUUUGGGCUGUUAGUUGGGUGGGUAGGUUUAGUUUUUUUGUUUGAAGAUGGGUUAAAUGGGUAAUUGGGUUGUAAGUGGGUCUUAGGGGGAUUAGUGGGUUUAAUUGCACUUGGGCCCGGGUAAUUUGGGCUUCUACAGUAACUCUUUUAUUUUUUUUCAAAUUAAUAUUAUAUUUUACUAUAGAUAACAAUAUUUUAGAAAGAAUGAAGCAUUAAUGUAAUAGUUUUUCGAAAAUGAAAUAUUAAGUCAUAUUCGAACGAUAAUGAGACCGGAGUUAUAUAUAUAUAAGAUCAUUUUAAUUGAUAAUGAAGUAAUAUAAUAUAAUAUAAUGUUAUUGUUUUUAUUUUUAUUUUUUUGUAAGUUAUUUAUAUUAUGUGAAGUAAAGACUAUUUUAUACUUCAUUAUUAAUACCUUAUAAGAUUUCAAUAAUUCAUUAUUAUUAAUAGUGAUUAUUGCUCUAAUGCAA
rnacentral:lncRNA from 1 species